rnacentral:rRNA from 1 species
GAUGAACGCUAGCGGCAGGCUUAACACAUGCAAGUCGAGGGGUAUAGUUCUUCGGAGCUAGAGACCGGCGCACGGGUGCGUAACGCGUAUGCAAUCUACCUUUUGCAGAGGGAUAGCCCAGAGAAAUUUGGAUUAAUACCUCAUGGUAUGUGAGAAUGGCAUCAUUUUCACAUUAAAGUCACAACGGCAAAAGAUGAGCAUGCGUCCCAUUAGCUAGUUGGUAAGGUAACGGCUUACCAAGGCAACGAUGGGUAGGGGUCCUGAGAGGGAGAUCCCCCACACUGGUACUGAGACACGGACCAGACUCCUACGGGAGGCAGCAGUGAGGAAUAUUGGACAAUGGGCGCAAGCCUGAUCCAGCCAUGCCGCGUGCAGGAUGACGGUCCUAUGGAUUGUAAACUGCUUUUGUACAGGAAGAAACACUGGUUCGUGAACCAGCUUGACGGUACUGUAAGAAUAAGGAUCGGCUAACUCCGUGCCAGCAGCCGCCGCCGUAA